rnacentral:misc_RNA from 1 species
UUUCCGUAGGUGAACCUGCGGAAGGAUCAUUAUUGUAUAACCGAGGUGCGAGGGCUGUCGCUGACCCGAAAGGUCGUGCACGCCCGAGUGCCCUCACACACAUCCACCUCACCCCUAUGUGCACCACCGCGUGGGUCCCCCUUUGGCUUGUUCGGAGGGGGGCUUACGUUUUCACACGAACUCUGUAUGCAGUGUAGAAUGUAUUUUUUGUUUUUGCGAUCACGCAAUCAAUACAACUCUCAACAACGGAUCUCUUGGCUCUCGCAUCGAUGAGAACGCAGC